GAUGAACGCUGGCGGCGUGCCUAAUACAUGCAAGUCGAGCGAACAGAUGAGGAGCUUGCUCCUCUGACGUUAGCGGCGGACGGGUGAGUAACACGUGGAGAACCUACCUAUAAGACUGGGAUAACUUCGGGAAACCGGAGCUAAUACCGGAUAAUAUAUUGAACCGCAUGGUUCAAUAGUGAAAGACGGUUUUGCUGUCACUUAUAGAUGGAUCCGCGCCGCAUUAGCUAGUUGGUAAGGUAACGGCUUACCAAGGCAACGAUGCGUAGCCGACCUGAGAGGGUGAUCGGCAACACUGGAACUGAGACACGGUCCAGACUCCUACGCGAGGCAGCAGUAGGCAAUCCUCCGCAAUGGGCGCAAGCCUGACGGAGCAACGCCGCGUGAGUGAUGAAGGUCUUCGGAUCGUAAAAAUCUGUUAUUAGGGAAGAACAAAUGUGUAAGUAACUAUGCACGUCUUGACGGUACCUAACCAGAAAGCCACGGCUAACUACGUG
rnacentral:rRNA from 1 species